GAUGAACGCUGGCGGCGUGCCUAAUACAUGCAAGUCGAGCGAACGGACGAGAAGCUUGCUUCUCUGACGUUAGCGGCGGACGGGUGAGUAACACGUGGAUAACCUACCUAUAAGACUGGGAUAACUUCGGGAAACCGGAGCUAAUACCGGAUGAUAUUUUGAACCGCAUGGUUCAAAAGUGAAAGACGGUUUUGCUGUCACUUAUAGAUGGAUCCGCGCUGCAUUAGCUAGUUGGUAAGGUAACGGCUUACCAAGGCAACGAUGCAUAGCCGACCUGAGAGGGUGAUCGGCCACACUGGAACUGAGACACGGUCCAGACUCCUACGGGAGGCAGCAGUAGGGAAUCUUCCGCAAUGGGCGAAAGCCUGACGGAGCAACGCCGCGUGAGUGAUGAAGGUCUUCGGAUCGUAAAACUCUGUUAUUAGGGAAGAACAAAUGUGUAAGUAACUGUGCACGUCUUGACGGUACCUAAUCAGAAAGCCACGGCUAACUACGUG
rnacentral:rRNA from 1 species